rnacentral:rRNA from 1 species
CCUACGGGCGGCAGCAGUGGGGAAUAUUGGACAAUGGGCGAAAGCCUGAUCCAGCCAUGCCGCGUGUGUGAAGAAGGCCUUCGGGUUGUAAAGCACUUUCAGUGGGGAAGAAAGCCUUGGGGCUAAUACCCUCGAGGAAGGACAUCACCCACAGAAGAAGCACCGGCUAACUCCGUGCCAGCAGCCGCGGUAAUACGGAGGGUGCGAGCGUUAAUCGGAAUUACUGGGCGUAAAGCGCGCGUAGGCGGUCUGAUAAGCCGGUUGUGAAAGCCCCGGGCUCAACCUGGGAACGGCAUCCGGAACUGUCAGGCUAGAGUGCAGGAGAGGAAGGUAGAAUUCCCGGUGUAGCGGUGAAAUGCGUAGAGAUCGGGAGGAAUACCAGUGGCGAAGGCGGUCUUCUGGACUGACACUGACGCUGAGGUGCGAAAGCGUGGGCAGCAAACAGGAUUAGAUACCCCAGUAGUC